rnacentral:misc_RNA from 1 species
AACUUUUGGCAACGGAUCUCUAGGCUCUUGCAUCGAUGAAAAACGCAGUGAAAUGUGAUAAGUAAUGUGAAUUGCAGAAUCUCGUGAAUCAUCGAAUCUUUGAACGCACAUUGCGCCCAAUGGUAUUCCAUUGGGCAUACCUGUUUGAGUAUCAGAAUCCUUUCAAUUAUCAAACUUUUGUGUAUAGAGAUGUAUGUAAAGAUGUUUGGAAUAAAGUUGAGAAAAGUAGUAUUGUUUAUAAUAUUACUUUCUUAAAAACCAGAAAUAUUAUGUUUUGAUUUUUCUUCACCUCAUUUUGAAUGAAAUUUUAACAAAUGAGUAUGAGUAAAAAUAACAAUACUUUGGAUGACCUCAAAUCAGGUAGGGAUACCCGCUGAACUUAAGCAUAUCAAUAAGCGGAGGCU